GAUUUCUGGUACGGCGCGCUUGGCCCGCCAGGGUUACCUGGUUGUGUGCUGGUGCGCGCCUGCCAUCCUUUUGCAUUUCAGUUCUAUCCUUUACUGGUGUGAACUGUUUUGUAAAUCUUUUACUUUGAAAAAAUUAGAGUGUUUAAAGCAGGCUAUUGCUAUGAAUACAUUAGCAUGGAAUAAUAAUCUAGGACUUCGGUUCUAUUUUGUUGGUUUUUAGGACUGAAGUAAUGAUUGAUAGGGACAGUUGGGGGUGCUAGUAUUCAGCGGCCAGAGGUGAAAUUCUCGGAUUCGCUGAAGACUAACUUAUGCGAAAGCAUU
rnacentral:rRNA from 1 species